UACGGGGGGGGCAAGCGUUGUUCGGAAUUACUGGGCGUAAAGGGCUCGUAGGUGGCCAACUAAGUCAGACGUGAAAUCCCUCGGCUUAACCGGGGAACUGCGUCUGAUACUGGAAGGCUUGAAUCCGGGAGAGGGAUGCGGAAUUCCAGGUGUAGCGGUGAAAUGCGUAGAUAUCUGGAGGAACACCGGUGGCGAAGGCGGCUCACUGGACCGGAACUGACGCUGAGGCGCGAAAGCGUGGGGAGCAAACAGG
rnacentral:rRNA from 1 species